AAUCAACGCUGGCGGCGUGCCUCAGACAUGCAAGUCGAACGAGAAGUCCCCUUCGGGGGAUGGAUAGUGGCGCACGGGUGAGUAACACGUGGGUAAUUUACCUUUGGGUGGGGAACAACAGCCGGAAACGGCUGCUAAUACCGCAUAAUGCAGCGGCUCCUCAUGGAGACAGUUGUUAAAGCGGGGGAUCGCAAGACCUCGCGCCUGAAGAGAAGCCCGCGGCAGAUAGCUAGUUGGUAAGGUAAUGGCUUACCAAGGCGACGAUCUGUAACCGGCCUGAGAGGGCGGUCGGUCACACUGACACUGACAUACGGGUCAGACUCCUACGGGAGGCAGCAGUCGGGAAUUUUGGGCAAUGGGCGAAAGCCUGACCCAGCAACGCCGCGUGAAGGA
rnacentral:rRNA from 1 species